GACAGAGGGUGCAAACGUUGUUCGGAAUUACUGGGCGUAAAGCGCACGUAGGCGGAUAUUUAAGUCAGGGGUGAAAUCCCAGAGCUCAACUCUGGAACUGCCUUUGAUACUGGGUAUCUUGAGUAUGGAAGAGGUAAGUGGAAUUGCGAGUGUAGAGGUGAAAUUCGUAGAUAUUCGCAGGAACACCAGUGGCGAAGGCGGCUUACUGGUCCAUUACUGACGCUGAGGUGCGAAAGCGUGGGGAGCAAACAGGG
rnacentral:rRNA from 1 species